rnacentral:rRNA from 1 species
AGAGUUUGAUCAUGGCUCAGGAUGAACGCUGGCGGCGUGCUUAACACAUGCAAGUCGAACGGAGUUUAGAGAGCUUGCUCUUAAACGUUAGUGGCGGACGGGUGAGUAACGCGUGGGUAACCUGCCUUUCACUGGGGGAUAACAGUUAGAAAUGACUGCUAAUACCGCAUAAGCGCACGGGACGGCAUCGUCUAGUGUGAAAAAACUCCGGUGGUGAAAGAUGGACCCGCGUCUGAUUAGCUAGUUGGUGAGGUAACGGCCCACCAAGGCGACGAUCAGUAGCCGGCCUGAGAGGGUGAACGGCCACAUUGGGACUGAGACACGGCCCAAACUCCUACGGGAGGCAGCAGUGGGGAAUAUUGCACAAUGGGGGAAACCCUGAUGCAGGCCGACGCCGCGUGAGUGAAGAAGUAUUUCGGUAUGUAAAGCUCUAUCAGCAGGGAAGAAAAUGACGGUACCUGACUAAGAAGCCCCGGCUAACUACGUGCCAGCAGCAGC